rnacentral:rRNA from 1 species
UGGGGAAUAUUGGACAAUGGGCGAAAGCCUGAUCCAGCCAUGCCGCGUGUGUGAAGAAGGUCUUCGGAUUGUAAAGCACUUUAAGUUGGGAGGAAGGGCAUUAACCUAAUACGUUAGUGUUUUGACGUUACCGACAGAAUAAGCACCGGCUAACUCUGUGCCAGCAGCCGCGGUAAUACAGAGGGUGCAAGCGUUUAUCGGAAUUACUGGGCGUAAAGCGCGCGUAGGUGGUUUGUUAAGUUGGAUGUGAAAGCCCCGGGCUCAACCUGGGAACUGCAUCCAAAACUGGCAAGCUAGAGUACGGUAGAGGGUGGUGGAAUUUCCUGUGUAGCGGUGAAAUGCGUAGAUAUAGGAAGGAACACCAGUGGCGAAGGCGACCACCUGGACUGAUACUGACACUGAGGUGCGAAAGCGUGGGGAGCAAACA